UACCUGGUUGAUCCUGUAAGUAGUCAUAUGCUUGUCUCAAAGAUUAAGCGAUGCAUAGUAUGAACUAAUUCAGAUAGUGAAACUACGAAUGGCUCAUUAAAUCAGUAAUAGUUUGUUUGAUGGUAUCUACUACUCGGAUAACCGUAGUAAUUCUAAAGCUAAUACGUGCAACAAACCCCGAAUUCUGGAAGGGAUGCAUUUAUUGUUAGAAUAUAUGGCUUUAAACUAGAGGGGGGGGUGAAUCGUUUAAAGAGGGUUUUUGUAAACUUUUAAGCCUAGAAUGAAAAUACUUCAAGAAAACCUUGAUUAAGAAAUCAGUUUUUCAAAACAUAAAGCAAAAGGCACAAUACUAGUAAAAACAAUUGGUUGUUUUAACGAAACAAUCGGUUGUUUAUACCAGUUAACAAAUAUCAAAACUGAAUUUAAAGAGUUAGGGAUAAAGAGAUUGCACACAGAGUUUUAUACUGGUUCACUCCAAAUCUAGAGCUACAUGCAGUCUUCUCAGUAACCCUGAGGAAAUCCACUAAGCAAUCACAACUUGAUCACUUACACAACAACCAAGAGAAUGACCUUGAACACCUCAAGACACACACUCUUCUUGGCCAACACACCAACACCAAGAUUGCUGAUCUUGAUCCCUUCAAGAACACACAGCCAAUCUCAGCAAACACAGAAACAAAUACUUGUUUCACAGAGUUCAAGGAUUACACUUGUUACAGAAGAUAAUCUGAAAUCAAUACAAGCAUAAUCCUAUUCCACAAACUUUGAUCAAUCACAAACUUUUAGCAAUCUCAGCUCUUUGAAAAACUUAGAAAACUCUAUUCAAAAUCAGAUUCAGAUUGUUACUCUAUAUUGUUUUUCUGAAUAUAUUCAAAGAUAUAGUUUGUUAUCAAAUCUUAACAAACUCUUAAAUUGCAUUAAAAGAUUGGUCAAAGCAUUUAAUGACGGGAGCGUAAGUAGUUAAAUCAUUUAAAGCUCAGUCAAAGAUAGAACAAUUUUUUUGUUAUGGUCCCAAAGCAAACAAUCGAUUGUUUCUUCGAAUCAAUCAGUUGUUUUGGUUCUUAACAGUUCAACCAUUUUAAAAACAGUUUUCAAUCUUUUUCUCAAAACAUCUAAGUAUAAACAAUCGGUUGUUUCGACACAACAAUCGGUUGUUUUAACUUAGUUUGAAAACAUUUUACUUUCACAAAUAUUGAGAUGCUUAUGCUUUAGAUUCGAUCAAGGGGUGGAUUACAAUACUCAAACUACCCCAGAACUAUACUAAACCAGCACAGCAACACCAAGCACAGCCAAGGCUUCAACAUCCUUCAAAGGGUUUGGAUUCUUCAAAGCUUGAACACCACUUGGUUCAACAUUUAUUAGAUACAAGGUCAACGCAGGCUCUGCCUGUUGCUUUGAUGAUUCAUGAUAACUCGUCGGAUUGCACGGCCUUUGUGCCGGCGACGCAUCAUUCAAAUUUCUGCCCUAUCAACUUUUGAUGGUAGGAUAAUGGCCUACCAUGGUGGUGACAGGUGACGGAGAAUUAGGGUUCGAUUCCGGAGAGGGAGCCUGAGAAACGACUACCAAAUCCAAGGAAGGGAGCAGGCGCGCAAAUUACCCAAUCCUGACACUGGGAGGUAGUGACAAUAAAUAACAAUACCGGGCUCAUUGAGUCGGGUAAUUGGAAUGAGUACAAUCUAAAUCCCUUAACAAGGAUCCAUUGGAGGGCAAGUCUAGUGCCAGCAGCUACUGUAAUUCCAGCUCGAAUAGCGUAUAUUUAAGUUGUUGCAGUUAAAAAGCUCAUAGUUGGUCCUUGGGUUGCGUCGAUCGGUCCGCCACUGGUGUGAUGCGACGUAGGCGUUCCGAUCCCCGUGACGUGUUGAGAAGUCCACUGAACCCUAUCAUUUAGAGGAAGGAGAAAUCGUAACAAGGUUUCCGUAGGUGAACCUGCGGAAGGAUUAUUG
rnacentral:rRNA from 1 species